UCUCUAUGGGAGCUGACCGCAGACCGAUUGCGCAACGUCUGUCUGCACAUGCGCAAGAAUUACAGAGAUCCCAUUGGCUGUACUAUACUCUCUUGUGGUGAGUGAGGAGCUCCGAGGAGACUCUGACGUCAAUGGCCUGGAAUAUUCUCAGAUCCAGUUUCAGAAACUCAGUUCCUUUGAAAUUUGAAGGAGAAGCAAAGUGUCUUGCUGGAAGAGGAGCAGCGCAAACUUUCCUUAUUCAGCAGUGCAGUGCAGUGCGCGCAGGUUGCAGAAUCAUUGCAUUGUGAGUUGCAACCUUGCUCUGUAUGUUUACGCUUGUGUGUAUGUAGCUAACUACACAGAGUUGUUGCAGCUUUUGUCAUAGAUCAUUCAGUCGGUGGAGCGUUGGAGGGCGAAUAAUAUAAGUUUGGUUUUAUAGGGUGGCCACUUUAGUGACUGUGAGAGAAGUAGUUGAUGCAGUUGAAUAGAUACAUACUUGCCAGCACAACGCAUGUACAGUUAGCUAGCUAGAUAUACGCAUGCCUGUAAAGAUCGUGUAUACGCAUGGCUAAGAGUCUAUUAUUCUGCAUGACCUUGAACCCUUUGAGGGAGGGGGGAUGGUGUCCGUAGCACUGGAGUAAUCAAUCAGAAUGUGUGUGGAAGGUUCUUCAACAGUUGGGUCACAGGACAGCAUCUUUUUGUUCUUGGAACCGUUGUCGAACCAGCCUUCGGGGUGCAAUGAUGGAUUACUCAUGGCAUUCCAGUCUACCGGAGGGAGCACUUUGCUGUUAGUACCUGCCUAAUGGGAAAGCAGCACAGGGUAUGUUCCCCCGGGAGCAUAUCCUGCCAUAGUAGGGAGUGUUGAGAUCUCGUUAUCAGUUCCAAUAGUUAGUUAGCUAGGAUCAUUAGCUAGACAACUGCUGCUUCUUGGCUUAUGCUAAUUUAUUGUGAUGGCUUUUUUAGGAUCUUAACUCUGUGCCUACUGCACAUAGAAUUGGUAAGUUCAGGCUUUAACUAAACCCUAGGUGUGCCAAGGGAACUGUAGCCUUUGACUGGAUUAGUGAAGAGUAGUCUUGAGCACUUGUGCAAGCCUUGCGUGCCAGGCUUGUUGCAACUGGAGUCGGCGAGGGCUUCAAGAGCAAAGAGGUGUUGUCUCUGUGAGUCUACUGUUGUUGAACCAUCCCACACAUUCUGGUUGAUUACUUCUGUGCUCAGUUAAUGGUACUCACAGUCACAGGGUCCCUUUAGUUUAUUAUGCCCUUAUUGUAUUAGUCCCUUGGGCAAGGAAACUACUGGUGGUGGUGUUGCAAUGGUUGUCAAAGUGAUUAGCUGGUUUGAAUGGUUUGGUUUGGUUCGUUUUUGUCUCGGCAUUGUCUUUCUCAUUAUUAUAAUUCGAUUAUUGUCAGUUGUGUUUGGUGCUGCAAUGGUUGUUGAUAUGAUUGGCUGGUUUAACAUUGGGUUUUGUUUUGUCUUCAGCAAUGUGUCAUUUGAACACCCACCCACACAGUGACUUCUCUCCACACACACACACACACUGACCUCUCUUAUAAUUCAUUCAUCUUUGUCUUUCUCUUUAUAGGAAUGUGGUAUUAUUUUCAAUGUUUCACCUAAUUAUUUCUCUCUCCACAGCACGCACACGUAGAGGCAGGAUGGAGGUGUGGACUGCUCCAAGAUUUCCGAGUGGUUUUGCAUGAAAUAAUAAUUUAUGAAUAAUUAGCAUUGGUCCUCUCAGGUGUCAUGUGAUCCAUGGGAAAGGUGUCCUACUAUCUACAGAGACAUCAACAGUUUGAUAAAGUGUAGAUGGUGUGAAGUUUUAAUUUAUUACAUUUUACAGGUGCUGUGCUGAACAAGAGCUCUUUAUAAGUUUCAUUACUUGUAGCACUUACGUUACCAUUAAUAUUGAUCUCAUCCACACACACACGCAGACAGAGUUCAGAGAUUUGAAAGUGGUUUGUAUGAAAUAUCUUUAAUAUCAUUGGUGCUCACUCAGGUUUCAUGAGAUGUGUGAUCUAAGGAUCAGUGAUGUUGGUACGUUAGUGCUAGUGGGUUGGUGCACUCGUGAUUGUUUCUGUUCCACAGGUGUUGGAUGUGCUGCACCAACACCCACACAACAGCUCCCUUGGUUUAAUUUUCGUUAUUAUAUUUUGUAAAACAAUGCUUUCAAUAAUUAUAAUUAUUCAAUGGUCUAAUGUUGUAGAUCUAAUUGACUUGUUAAGAUGACAUGUAAAACAGUUUUUAACGUUCAAAA